rnacentral:rRNA from 1 species
CAGAAGAGUUGGCAAAUCCGCUCUUUAAUCUGAAGACGUGAUGUGGACUGAAAAUAAGUAGGGAAGCACGUGAGCUGACUGUCAAGAAAAGCCGCUAUUGUUUGCAGGAUACCCGUACCGUAAACCGACACAGGUGGAUGAGGAGAGAAUCCUAAGGCCGACGGGAGAAGCAUUGUUAAGGAACUCGGCAAAAUGACUCCGUAACUUCGGGAGAAGGAGUGCCAGUAAGAUGGCCGCAGAGAAUUGGCCCAAGCAACUGUUUAGCAAACACAGGUCUAUGCAAAACCGAAAGGUGAGGUAUAUGGGCUGACGCCUACCCGGUGCUGGGAGGUUAAGGGGAGAGGUUAGCGCAAGCGAAGCUUUGAACUUAAGCCCCAGUAAACGGCGGCCGUAACAAUAACGGUCCUAAGGUAGCGAAAUUCCUUGUCGGGUAAGUUCCGACCCGCACGAAAGGCGUAAUGAUUUGGGCACUGUCUCAACAAUGCACCCGGUGAUAUUGAAAUACCAGUGAAGAUGCUGGUUACCUGCGCCAGGACGGAAAGACCCCAUGGAGCUUUACUCCAGCUUGAUACUGGGAUUCGGUAUUGCAUGUACAGGAUAGGUGGGAGGCUAGGAAAUGGUAACGCCAGUUGCCAUGGAGCCAAUGUUGGGAUACCACCCUUGCAGUACUGGGUUUCUAACCAGCAGCCGUGAUCCGGCUGGGGGACAAUGUCAGGUGGGGAGUUUGACUGGGGCGGUCGCCUCCGAAAGGGUAUCGGAGGCGCUCAAAGGUUCCCUCAGAAUGGUUGGAAACCAUUCGAAGAGUGCAAAGGCAGAAGGGAGCUUGACUGCGACACCGACGGGUGGAGCAGGUACGAAAGUAGGACUUAGUGAUCCGGUGGUAUAAAGUGGGAUUGCCAUCGCUCAACGGAUAAAAGCUACCCUGGGAUAACAGGCUUAUCACUCCCAAGAGUUCACAUCGACGGAGUGGUUUGGCACCUCGAUGUCGGCUCAUCGCAUCCUGGGGCUGAAGUAGGUCCCAAGGGUUGGGCUGUUCGCCCAUUAAAGCGGUACGCGAGCUGGGUUCAGAACGUCGUGAGACAGUUCGGUCCCUAUCCGGCGUGGGCGUAAGAUAUUUGAGAGGAGCUGUCCUUAGUACGAGAGGACCGGGAUGGACUGGCCGCUGGUGUAUCUGUUGUCUUACCAAAGGCAUAGCAGAGUAGCCAAGCCGGGAAGGGAUAAACGCUGAAGGCAUCUAAGCGUGAAGCCCCCCUCAAGAUGAGAUAUCUCUUAACGUCAAGUUAGUAAGACCCCUUGAAGACGACGAGGUAGAUAGGGCAGAGGUGGAAGUGUGGUAACACAUGGAGCUGACUGUUACUAAUAGGUCGAGGGCAUAACCG